ensembl:lncRNA
AGUGCAUCCAGCUCUUUAAAGCAUCUCCGUGUCUGAGCGACCUGCCAGCAGGCUGUAGUGACUGCUCUGCACCGCCGCGUCUCCCUGGAUCUUCAGCCCUUUGUCAAAGGCAGGGGUCGCCGGGGUGCCGGACCCUGAGGAAACAGUAUCUCGUGCUUCCCCUCGAGCACUUCCUGUGCGUGUCACUCAAGAGCCGGGCUCGUGUCUCUGAUCAAAGGCCACGAACAGGAGCAGACGACAGGGUGACGCUGACACGUCUCGCGCUGAAGGAUGUCCUGAACGGGUGGGUGAACUGGGAAUAGCCCCUGCAUCCUCAGCCCAGUAACCCUGCAGCAGUGCUGACCGUCACCAUGGCAACUCAUGCCCAGGUCUAGUGGAAAGGAUUGAAGGCGAUAGUAUGGUCAGGGUCUGAUGUCCAGCACAGUCUCACUUCAUCACAUUAAUCCAGCCACGGAUACGGACACGUUUCACAUCCGUCCAACACAAUCACCAUCCUUGGCAAUUACAUUACAAGUGUAGAUUGCCUGGGAAACACAACAGUGUCUGUGCCGGCUGCUCUGUUCAGAGAUAACAGAGUGUCAUGAGAACAAUAGCGUCAUUGGGCUCCGGAUGGGACUGUGCAACUCAAUCCGCCUUUAAAUGGAGCGAGACAAAGUCGCAGCAUUCGGUUUCCAUCACAUCAGCAUUCAAAUGCUUUUGCAGUGCAUGAAGUUACCAGGGUGCAGCAGCCGUGCAGGAGCUUGUUUGACCGGCAACAGUUG